rnacentral:rRNA from 1 species
GACGAACGCUGGCGGCGUGCCUAAUACAUGCAAGUCGAACGCUGAAACUUGGUGCUUGCACCGAGCGGGUGAGUUGCGAACGGGUGAGUAACGCGUAGGUAACCUGCCUGGUAGCGGGGGAUAACUAUUGGAAACGAUAGCUAAUACCGCAUAAGAGUAGAUGUUGCAUGACAUUUGCUUAAAAGGUGCAAUUGCACCACUACCAGAUGGACCUGCGUUGUAUUAGCUAGUUGGUGGGGUAACGGCUCACCAAGGCGACGAUACAUAGCCGACCUGAGAGGGGGAACGGCCACACUGGGACUGAGACACGGCCCAGACGCCUACGGGGAGCAGCAGUAGGGAAUCUUCGGCAAUGGACGGAAGUCUGACCGAGCAACGCCGCGGGAGGGAAGAAGGGUGUCGGAUCGUAAAGCUCUGUUGUAAGAGAAGAACGAGUGUGAGAGUGGAAAGUUCACACUGUGACGGUAGCUUACCAGAAAGGGACGGCUAACUACGUG